ACAUACAUGCAUACUGACAUACAUACACACAGACAUACAUGCACACAUACAUACUGACAUACAUGCAUACUGACAUACACACACACACAGACAUACAUACUUGCAGACACAUACACAGACAUACAUACAGACAUACAGACACACAUACAUACAUACAUGCAUACUGACAUACAUACACACAGACAUACAAGCAUACUGACAUACACACACACAGACAUACAAACAUACUUGCAGACACAUACACAGACAUACAUACUGACAAACAGACAUACAUACAGACAUAUAUACAUACUGACAUACACACAGACAUACAUGUAUACUGACAUAUACACACACACAUACAUACUGACACACACCUCAUUUAUAAGCCACCCUCCUCUUACCUUUAAGUUGCAGGAGGGUGGCUGGGGAUGAUGCCUUUGGUGUCCUCUCCUGUCCUCCGCUCUCCCGCUGCUCUCCCCCCGC